rnacentral:rRNA from 1 species
AUUGAACGCUGGCGGCAGGCCUAACACAUGCAAGUCGAGCGGAGAUGAGGUGCUUGCACCUUAUCUUAGCGGCGGACGGGUGAGUAAUGCUUAGGAAUCUGCCUAUUAGUGGGGGACAACAUUCCGAAAGGAAUGCUAAUACCGCAUACGUCCUACGGGAGAAAGCAGGGGAUCUUCGGACCUUGCGCUAAUAGAUGAGCCUAAGUCGGAUUAGCUAGUUGGGGGGGUAAAGGCCCACCAAGGCGACGAUCUGUAGCGGGUCUGAGAGGAUGAUCGGCCACACUGGGACUGAGACACGGCCCAGACUCCUACGGGAGGCAGCAGUGGGGAAUAUUGGACAAUGGGGGGAACCCUGAUCCAGCCAUGCCGCGUGUGUGAAGAAGGCCUUAUGGUUGUAAAGCACUUUAAGCGAGGAGGAGGCUACUGAGACUAAUACUCUUGGAUAGUGGACGUUACUCGCAGAAUAAGCACCGGCUAACUCUGUGCCAGCCGCCGCAGUAAAAC